rnacentral:rRNA from 1 species
UACAGAGGGGGCAAGCGUUGUUCGGAAUUACUGGGCGUAAAGGGCGCGUAGGCGGCCUGCUAAGUCGAACGUGAAAUCCCCGGGCUCAACCCGGGAACUGCGUCUGAUACUGGAUGGCUUGAGUUUGGGAGAGGGAUGCGGAAUUCCAGGUGUAGCGGUGAAAUGCGUAGAUAUGCGGAGGAACACCGAUGGCGAAGGCAAUCCCCUGGACCUGUACUGACGCUCAUGCACGAAAGCGUGGGGAGCAAACAGG